AUAUUCAGACACCAUCCUGCUACUUUACUUUUGUCGUCUUCAAUUCCUUCCCCCCAGCCGAGGAAAAAAUAUCCCUAUCUAACUUGUUUCUAAAACCCCCAACAUAUACGGUUUGAAAGAGAAAGAAUGUUCAACGUUUCGAUUCACAUGCAGGAAGUUUGUGUCAGCCCAGAUUGGUGGGUUAAACGGAGGCACGGGAAGGACCCUGUUACACACGCACUCAAACAAAUGUAAGUUCUCUGGAAAUUGAUGAAGUAAAAAUGCCUAUGGCUUCUGUGCUGGUGGAACUUUUGAUUUUCUGUAAACAAGAAUACUGUCGAUCAUGACACAACAAAAGUUGAAAGUUCUAUGGGGCUAGUCAAUUUAUACUAGAUUCUUAUGACCACUCUCUUGGAGUUCUCAUUCAUAAAGACUGCGAAUGGAUGGGCUUUCAGUGGCUGCGAUUCUUCCUGUUGCACCCACCAACUUGCUCGAUUCUUUUUCACAUGCUAGCAUGUCACAGGCGUUGAUGAGCAAGUGAUGAAUUCCCUCCAGUGACAGACUUUAGACAAGCUGCAGAACCACCGGUCAUCUGCUUUACCAUAAUUGCAUUGCACUCAUGCUCAUCCAUGGGGUAUGUAGCAACAGAUGCAGUUUAUCAUUUGCACAAAUAUGGUUAUAUUUUCUUUGAUUCUAGGAUAUGGCAACUCGUAGACAUUAUUUUAUAGUACAUAUAUAUUGAAAUGUGUAAAUGUUUUUGCUUGUAGAUAAAUGAUGUAUGUAUGAUUUUAUGAAGUUUCGUUUUUAGGUUCACUGUAUGCUAAUGCAGCUUAUAAACAACGAAGGAUAACCAUUAUCAUUCCUUAACAUUUCCUUUCUCAGUGAAAGGUGGGAUUUAA